AUUGAACGCUGGCGGCAGGCCUAACACAUGCAAGUCGAGCGGAUGAAGGGAGCUUGCUCCUGGAUUCAGCGGCGGACGGGUGAGUAAUGCCUAGGAAUCUGCCUGGUAGUGGGGGAUAACGUCCGGAAACGGGCGCUAAUACCGCAUACGUCCUGAGGGAGAAAGUGGGGGAUCUUCGGACCUCACGCUAUCAGAUGAGCCUAGGUCGGAUUAGCUAGUUGGUGGGUAAAGGCCUACCAAGGCGACGAUCCGUAACUGGUCUGAGAGGAUGAUCAGUCACACUGGAACUGAGACACGGUCCAGACUCCUACGGGAGGCAGCAGUGGGGAAUAUU
rnacentral:rRNA from 1 species